UUCAUCACGGAACAUUUCUAUUUACUAUU
rnacentral:piRNA from 1 species